rnacentral:rRNA from 1 species
AAUGAACGCUGGCGGCGCGCCUAAUACAUGCAAGUCGAGCGAGAAGACGUAGCAAUACGUUUGUAAAGCGGCGAACGGGUGAGGAAUACAUGGGUAACCUACCCUCGAGUGGGGAAUAACCAGCCGAAAGGUUAGCUAAUACCGCGUACGCUUCUUGGACUUCGGUUCAGGGAGGAAAGCGAUGCCGAGGGUAUCGCGCUCUUGGAUGGGCUCAUGUCCUAUCAGCUUGUUGGNGAGGUAACGCUCACCAAGGCUUCGACGGGUAGCUGGUCUGAGAGGACGAUCAGCCACACUGGCACUGCGACACGGGCCAGA